AGUUUGCUAUUUGCUUUAAUUCAUAAUAUCUACUGUAAAAUAAAUGCUCAGUCAUUCUACGCAAUUAUUUUGCUAAUAUUAUUCAAAUUGGUAAUAUUAUUGAGAUACAUUUGAAGAAUAAUCAAACCACCCAUUCUAUUUUCCAGGUACAUGAAGACUCUUGGCCGUUUUUACUCCCUGUGAACACCAAACAGUUCCCUACCUACCGUAAGGUUAUCAAGUACCCGAUGGAUUUAUCCACCAUCAAGAAACGUCUACAGGAUAUGGUGUACAAAUCGCGCGAUGAUUUUAUCACUGACGUCCGGCAGAUAUUCGACAACUGCGAGAUGUUCAACGAGGACGACUCCCCGGUGGGCACGGCCGGCCAUGGGAUGCGCAAGUACUUCGAGCAGCGCUGGGCCGAGCUAACGGAGAAGCACACGUCAUCAUGAUGUCACGCUACCGGUGGAGCGAUAGCGUCAUCGGGUGGUAGCGGCAGCAGCACAGGUGGAAUAAUGUUGGCGUCGGGGACACCGGCCAUCCAGGACCACUGUUCGAAUGCAGUCGAAACGAUAAUGGCGACGGCAACCGAGGAUGGCGUGUCGUUGAUGCCGGGGGAGAUGAUCGAACACGGCGACGGAGGGCAGAGGGAUGAAGCAGGUUUAACAGAGUCGUCGAAAGCGAUCGUGGCGGCGAUGCUCGGCCAGGACGAUCCAGAUGGAACGGAUGCAGCAGUGUUGAUGAUGAUGGGCGAUGGAACAGACUAGUUGGAGCAACACGAGUGGGUUUGAUUUUAUGAACGAUGAUUUUCGUUAGGUUAAUUUGAUUUCGUGUAUUAUAGAGAAUCUCGCCAAGCGAGAAUGCAUUACUAAUUUUGACUGUGUAGGGAAAAUACCAAUGCAGUAUUUUUUCGUUCGAUAUUCGUCUUUUUUCAAAUAAAAUUGAAAAAAUAAAACUGCAGGAAUAUUUUAUGUUUUAUAGGAAAUAUUUCAGUAUUGAGAGAAGAAAAGGGUUUGACGAGUUUUCGUGUCAAGUCGACCAGAGGUGGGUAGCUAGUGUGUUUACAAAGACAAAGGAAUUAAUAGAACAUUCCCCGUUAAAAAAAUCAUAUUUGGUCUGUCUGAUAGUUAUUCAUUAAAUUGAAAAAUCAGUCAUCAUUCGUUGCUUAGUGGAUACCUACUAUAUAUUAAUGCUGUGCAUAUAUGUUUUACUUAUCCUUUUCAUUUAAUUUAAACUUUGUUUCGUAACAAAAUCAACGUGAAAAGUCGUUUAACUAUUGGACAGGAUCUGCACAGGUCUUGAAGUUGUUUGCCAACCACUGGUCGAUUAGAUUCAUAAUCCGUCCUUUGAAGCUGUUCUACCGAAAAGGAGCAAGCAAAGAUCUAGGCAGAGAUAUCUUUCGACGAAACGUUUGGAAAGCAUUUUGGAGUAAGAUCAAAAUUAUUUAAACGAAAAAAAUAUCAAAAUCCAUAAACUCAAAACAUUAACUUAAAUGUAUUCAAGCAAGAAAAUAGACUGUUUUACAAAUAAUGAAAACCAUAACUUAUUAUUCUAGAAAACUCCCCUUCUACCUUUAGCAUUAGCGGUUCGCGAACCCCACGUUAUAAUACUAAACAAAAAAAAAAAGAGGUGCCCUCCUCUGAUGGAUUGCAUCCAAUUUAGAAGCAUGACAGUUAUAACAAAAGUAUAUUCACUAUUCAACACGAGAAGAGGGGUCCUGAUUAUCACCAAACAAAACGAAUACGAAUUGGAGUGAACCGGAGAGCGGAAUUCGUCGUGUAGUGGACUCUAUAUUUAUAUAUUUACCGCCAAGGACUUUAUUUCUCCAACUCCAUAACGGCUAGAAUCACACAAAAGGUAAAAACAAACUAUGUAAUUAGCAAAAUCUCCACUCUUGAGCUGUCCUCUUCGAUCCGGAAGGAUUCCAAUUACCGGGAAUCGCUUCCCUCGAGGUUGCACGCUGAACGCCAGAGGAAAACUAAUUUGUAAAUAGUAGUACUUAGUUCCGCGAUUUGUAACGUCAAGUGCAAAGGACAACAAUUUUUAACAGAACAAAUGUGCAGAUCUAUUUGUAAGAGAGAAUUAAUAAUACCCAACACAAAUACAACACUUAUUCUAAUAAAAACAAAAGGUUUUGUUUGCGAUAAUUUCAAUUCGGAAAGAAAGUGAUAAAUGAACGUUUGCAAAAUAGUUCGUUCCGAUUCCCCUCAGAUUGCUUUUAAACUUUCAUUUCCAAUGAUUGGUGAAACCCCGCCGAUGCGAUUUACUUAUAGUUUUAAUCUGUUGGAUUGCUAACAGAGGAACAACAUUUAUAUAAUACGAUGAAUUGAAAAUAUAGGAGCAGCUACAUUUGCGUAAACAUCAAUAAGAGUAGUUAACUUUUUCCGCAUCUCAUAUGGGCUAAAGAAUUACCUAAAAUUUGAGAAUGUUCUACCCGAUUCUUAGCAAAGAGAGAGAGAGGUAACAUCCAUUAUACUGCAGUAGUGAUUCAAUGUGAAUAAAAUACUGAAUGUCCAUGUAUAACUGAGUAAACUGUAAAACUGGCUAAUAAUGUUAAAAGUAAAUAACUAAUCGAUUCAGCUAGAAUGAUGUAGACUGCUCAUACCGAUAUCUGCGAUUGGCAAUUUGAUAAGAAUUUUGUUUUAAACGUUGUUGUGCGCUUUUUUGAUCGAUCUGCAUAGGAAUACCCACAUCAACUGACACUCGUCCUUUUAGUUUUGUAUUUGCUUAUUAUAAAUGAUAAGUUAGUGUCACCUACCCUACGGACCGACCUACGUGCGGUUUAGAAAGAAGAAAUUUGCACGAACAAAACGAAGAAUACCGACAGAAAAAAGGAAAAUAUGUUGAUAUAUAUAACAUGUGUACAUAUUUUGACUAGAAUUUUUCGAGUAAGGUAAUAAUAAAAAGCAUAGAAUAAAAUUAUGGAUGAAUAUUA